CAGUAGCCGCGGUAAUACAGAGGGUGCGAGCGUUAAUUGGAUUUACUGGGCGUAAAGCGUGCGUAGGCGGCUUUUUAAGUCGGAUGUGAAAUCCCUGAGCUUAACUUAGGAAUUGCAUUCGAUACUGGGAAGCUAGAGUAUGGGAGAGGAUGGUAGAAUUCCAGGUGUAGCGGUGAAAUGCGUAGAGAUCUGGAGGAAUACCGAUGGCGAAGGCAGCCAUCUGGCCUAAUACUGACGCUGAGGUACGAAAGCAUGGGGAGCAAACAGGAUUAGAUACCCCCGUAGUCCCUGUCUCUUAUAC
rnacentral:rRNA from 1 species